AUGAGACGCCUGGUGCUGCUGCCGAUGAGAUAGGGAGAGAAGAGGCAGGGAGACCAAAGUUCUGGGGAUGUCGCCUUCUUCACUUUUUCCGCCGAAAAGCUGGGAAAUACAACCUGGCCAAGGCUGAGGAAGUCUGCCAGAAGGAGGCGGCAUUGUAUCGGAGACUUAAUGAUGGUCAGACUUCUCUACAACAGGGAUGUGUUGUUGUCGAGAUCCAUGAUCAUCAAGACCCUCCAGUCUCUGAAGUCCUCCCUGCUAUAGAGAAACUGCUGGAGCCGGACGUCCCCCAACAACUGGAUGUCAACAUUCCAGCUAGUUUGAAUGAAGAGGACAAAGUGGAAGAGCUGGCCAAGGAUCAGAUUUGUCUGCAGGAUAAUUGCACUGAAGACAAUGAAGUGGAGGAGCAAGACGACAAUCACGUAUUCUGGCAAUACGAAUUUGGGCCCCAGCUGGGUAAAGGAGGCGGUGGCUGUGUGUAUGCAGCGACUCGCUGCACGGAUGGCCUUAAGGUUUGAUUUUUUUUCUUUUUUUUACCUAUGAAACCUUCCAUACUUGUUUGGUAUUGGUGACUGGAAUGAUCUCUGUGCACCAGAUAAUUGACUGUUCUAGCUUUGUUUGAACAGGUGGCUGUGAAGAUUGCCGAAAAGACUCCAGAUAUGCCAUAUAUCAGAAUUGUGAAUAGCUUGUGCUCUCUAUAAUGUUGCUUCUCAGUCGUUGUUUUCGGUUUCUAGCGUCUUAUAUCAUGUGAAAUCUAAGAAACCACCUUCAACUAAACAUCAUGC